rnacentral:rRNA from 1 species
GAUGAACGCUGGCGGCGUGCCUAAUACAUGCAAGUCGAGCGAACAGACGAGGAGCUUGCUCCUCUGACGUUAGCGGCGGACGGGUGAGUAACACGUGGAUAACCUACCUAUAAGACUGGGAUAACUUCGGGAAACCGGAGCUAAUACCGGAUAAUAUAUUGAACCGCAUGGUUCAAUAGUGAAAGACGGUUUUGCUGUCACUUAUAGAUGGAUCCGCGCCGCAUUAGCUAGUUGGUAAGGUAACGGCUUACCAAGGCAACGAUGCGUAGCCGACCUGAGAGGGUGAUCGGCCACACUGGAACUGAGACACGGUCCAGACUCCUACGGGAGGCAGCAGUAGGGAAUCUUCCGCAAAGGGCGAAAGCCUGACGGAGCAACGCCGCGUGAGUGAUGAAGGUCUUCGGAUCGUAAAACUCUGUUAUUAGGGAAGAACAAAUGUGUAAGUAACUAUGCACGUCUUGGCGGUACCUAAUCAGAAAGCCACGGCUAACUACGUG